AUUUGCCGGAAUAAACAAUUCAUAUCCAUCAUUUCUGACCACGUCAUUUAAAACAAAUUUAUUAGCAUCCUCCCAUUUCUUGAAAGCAACGCUAAUUCGGUUUUUUCCUUUUUUGCUAAGUUUAAGUACAUUCUCGAUUUUUUUGUCAUUUAUGUAUUUUGCUAAUUUCAAAAAACUAUAAUUACCGACGUUAUCGCCUUUUGACUCCAUAAAUACCUCAAAGGGACCGGUAUCAGUGUACUGAUAAUAGAAAUGUUUUUUUCCUUUUUUUAUUUCAUUGUUAUUAUUAGUGAUUGAAUUAGCAUUGCUAUCAAGUAAUGGUGUAUUAUUUAAACUACUAUUAUUUUCAGUGUUUUCUAUAUUAUCUAACAUCUCCUCAUCACCGGGGGGGUUAGCCCCCCCCCCCGUAGUAUCCCCCAUAAUUAACCCUGUAAUGCAAAGCUGUCUCUUUUUUUACCUAACUAGAUAAUGUAUAAUUUAUUUUAUUCAAAGAAAGUACAGGAAAUUUAGGAAUUCAACAGAUAGGAAAUUUGUUAGUUACCUCUAUUAUGUAGUUCCUAUUUUGUUUUUGCCGCCUGCGUUUUUUUUGAAUUAUCACUUCCACACUGAACUGUCACACAACCGAACGUUACGAAAGCUCAUACAGAAGCACUUUACACUACAACCCGGCAGGAAAAUGACACUGACCACUGACAGCAGGACGCAGGAGGAUAGGUUAACUCUGGCCGAGAUUUUGGUACCAAGUGAUAAACCGUGACUUCUGAAAAGAGACUUCAUCAUUAUGAACGAUGAUGUCGCUUUUCCUAUGCGUUGUUUUAUUUCACUAGAGUGGUCUCAUAGAAGAGUGGGUGGGGUCUCAUUGACUGUUUAUGUUGGUACCAAGGUAUGUGUAGCUGUCCACCCUGUCAAUUGGUUGUUCGUUAACCAAAAGUUGUGUAUUUAAUGUUGUAUGGUAUACCAUUUUGUAUCUAUUUUUCAAUGAUUUUUCAUUGUUUAUCGUCGUAUUUUGUCUAUUUUGGAUUUCGUUUCCUGUUUUUGUGAACUUUAUAAACUUUACCACAAUGCAAACUGAUUAUUUAAGGAAAUUAUUAUUGGAAACUCCAGAUGUUGCGAGAAAGAUAUUUAUUGAAGCUGAAAAUAAUUGGGGAUUUAGAUCCAUACGCAAUUCAGUCAGAAUUGGAUUUUACAGUAAAGUGCAGACCAUCAAGUUACUAUUAUAGAUAUUUAUACAUAUCUGGUGGAAUCUCGCAGUUGCUACUCUAAGCAGCAGAUGAAAGCAUACAAAAGCCUUCAGGCACAUAAAUAUUUUACAGCUGGAUUUGUUUUGAAUGGAGUAAAAAUUGGUAAUGAUUUCCAUAUUAUUGUUGGAAAGGUGAAGCAUUUCCAAAAAUCUAAUGCUAAACGACUAAAUGCUUGGGUGGGGUGAUAGCCAGUUCUGAUGACAUAGCAAAUGCAGAUUGUAUACAUAUGGCCGGUAAUAGUGAAGUCUGCAGCAAUCCUAUUUUUAGCUGAGUAUGCCCAGGGCAAGACAGACGAAGAAGAACCCAAUGUUACAGCUACAUGGUUUGGAGAUAGCAACAUAUGCAUUCUCUGAUGAAAAACUAAUGAGUUUUGAAACUGUUCACUUCUUCAUCAUGAGUAAUUAUGUAUUGGUCUUUUAAAUGUGUAUUUAUUUUUGUAAUUAGUAUCAACUUGUAAUGAUAAUAUACAUUUAUCGUUUAAGGUAUGACUAUGUUUUGACUCUAAAAUAAAUGAUUUAAAAAUCGAA